AGAACUGUAGGUCCAAAUCGGUCGGCGCACGCUUCAUUCGCCCCCAAGUGCUUUGGCGCCUAACCUAAGAGCCUAAUCUAAGAGCCAGGCUGUGGAAGGGCAGAGAUGACCGUUUACUCAUGUUUGUAAUCUUCCAGCAUCCAGCACAAAUUCCUCCAGAUAGAAGGUUUGGAAACUUAAUUCCAUGUGGCAGACACAAUUGUGUUCCUUAGAUCCCAGAUGCAGCCCAGAUGAAGAAAGCACGAUUAGCAGGAAACUUCCACAUGUCAGCAACUUCAAGUUCUGCCUUAGCCACAGGAAGUCACAUUGUCUGAGGUCACCUCCUGUUUUGGGUAGUCUGCAUCUGGUGACUGAGUGUAGCAGAUGUAUUAAAAUCCAGUCAUUGAAGUUCCCACUGUGGCACAACGGGACUGGUGGUGUGCCUGCAGCACCAGGAUGCAGGUUCGA